rnacentral:rRNA from 1 species
UACGUAGGGGGCAAGCGUUGUCCGGAAUCAUUGGGCGUAAAGAGCGUGUAGGCGGCCCGAUAAGUCCGCUGUGAAAGUCCAGGGCUCAACCCUGGGAUGCCGGUGGAUACUGUCGGGCUCGAGUCCGGAAGAGGAGUGUGGAAUUCCUGGUGUAGUGGUGAAAUGCGUAGAGAUCCGGAGGAACACCAGUGGCGAAGGCGACACGCUGGGCCGUACCUGACACUGAUGCGCGACAGCAUGGGGAGCAAACAGG